GGCAAAGCAAAUAGCUGUUUAAUUUUUUCUCUCUGACAAUCAGAAUCAAGCUCAGUUCUUCAAGACUAUUAUGAUUUCUUCAGCUUUCCAGAUUUUACUCCCUCUGAUGAGCACUAUCAAAAAACAAUGAAUUCCUCAUGGAUUGAGGGGGACUAAGAUCUGCAUCUAUGCUAUGAAUCACCCAGCAGAUACAUGGAUAUAGAACAAAGAAAGUUAAUGAAGAUCUCCAGAGAUGGUCAUCAUUAUAUUUCCACUUCCUAAUUAAGGCUUAAGUGUUUCCUUUUGCUUUGAAGAAACAGAUACGCAGCUUCUUAUCAGGAUCACGUACUUAUAUAAGACAAAAAGAGCUCCAACAUGUUACUUCUGGAAAUGCCCACACAUUUACAUUUUCCGAAGCUAUAUCCUCAGAACCACUCCCAGUUUACACCGAUGCUGAUAUUGUCCUAAGAAAGCUAUACUGAUUUGCACCAGACAAUCUGUUUUGGUCUUCGAAUUCAACAGGGUCAUUCUUGCUUAUCACUUUUAAAACUGGGCUGUGAGAGGAAGGAAUUGGAAGAACAGGGCCUCUGAUUCUCUAACAUUUUCUACAACCAGGGACAGUGACUCCACCACCUCCCUGGGCUGCCUGUGCCAAUAUCUCACCACUCUUUCUGAGAAGAAGUAGUUCCUAACAUCCAGCCUGACUCUCCUUCUUAGUCUUGCAUCUUUCCAACAUAUUUCAAGCCACUUUACCAGUUGAGACCCUGGGAGCUCCUACAGCUGCUGAGAGACACUGACUUCUCCAGAGGUAAUCUUAGAUGUGGAGUGAAUGAAGUGAAGUCUGUUAUCAAUCCAUAACAUCUGCUGCAGUGUCAAGUGAUGAAAUGGGUGACUCCAGAGCCCAAGACAGCUGGGAUGGCUUUCUUAAUGCAGUAGGGUAUUGUGCAAACAAACAGGCACUGAUACCGUCUAUGGUUGUCACAAUUAUUCAAGCUGGUGAUACAUCUUCCUGUAUUAGCUGCUUGAGAAGCCCUAUUUCUUUUAAAAGUAAACUACUGUAUAGCAAUCACCCAAUCUGUUCUUUAACUCAGUUGAGUGCAAACAUAAUAAAACACUGGAAAUAAAAAUAAAUUCAAAUUUGCCACCAGAGCAAUAAAGCAUAAAAUAAUGUACACACGCUAGGAAAAAAAUAUCUACUCACAGUUUUUAGAACUUAGAAAUUAUGUAUUCCUUUCAAGCUGAAUCUAUAGUGUAAGAUUAUUCUGCAUCUCUACAGUGCUUCCCAGUUACUGGGAAAUCUAGCAGAUUGUUCAGAGAAGUCAAAGAUCGAGAGCUGGAAAAAACAACCAUGGAUCAUGAAUAACAUCCCUUUGCCAUUGCACGAUAAUUACUAAGAUCACUCAGGGGAGUUAAGAUUAAGGGCCACAUUAAAAUCUUUCAGAUAUAAGGAAAUAAAAUUAAUUUAGAGCUAGGGUGCUACACAUAAACAAUCCUCAGCUUUAAGUCAACAAAGUAAACAGGAAAAAAAGAUACGUAAAAACUACAAGAGACAGAUGCUACUAGAAAAUAGUAAGACUCAGUAACUGGUUUCAUGAGCAUCUGAAAAUUAGGAUUUGGGUUUGAAUUAUGUCAUUACGCACAGAACUGUAUUCAACAGUUACUUUCAGGAUCCAAAACGCAAACCAGGAAUCAUGUGAGAAAGAAAUGUAUAAACAAAACUGAAGCAUUUUUCUUUUUUCUUUUUAUUUUUACCAAAAUAAAAUGAUUCAAGUAAAUGAAAACAACUUUCUG
ensembl:lncRNA